GACGAACGCUGGCGGCGUGCUUAACACAUGCAAGUCGAACGGAAAGGCCCUGCUUUUGUGGGGUGCUCGAGUGGCGAACGGGUGAGUAACACGUGAGUAACCUGCCCUUGACUUUGGGAUAACUUCAGGAAACUGGGGCUAAUACCGGAUAGGAGCUCCUGCUGCAUGGUGGGGGUUGGAAAGUUUCGGCGGUUGGGGAUGGACUCGCGGCUUAUCAGCUUGUUGGUGGGGUAGUGGCUUACCAAGGCUUUGACGGGUAGCCGGCCUGAGAGGGUGACCGGCCACAUUGGGACUGAGAUACGGCCCAGAAUCCUACGGGAGGCAGCAGUGGGGAAUAUUGCACAAUGGGCGGAAGCCUGAUGCAGCAACGCCGCGUGCGGGAUGACGGCCUUCGGGUUGUAAACCGCUUUCGCCUGUGACGAAGAGUGAGUGACGGUAAUGGGUAAAGAAGCACCGGCUAACUACGUG
rnacentral:rRNA from 1 species